rnacentral:rRNA from 1 species
UACGGGGGGGGCAAGCGUUGUUCGGAAUUACUGGGCGUAAAGGGCUCGUAGGCGGCCAACUAAGUCAGACGUGAAAUCCCUCGGCUUAACCGGGGAACUGCGUCUGAUACUGGAUGGCUUGAGCUCGGGAGAGGGAUGCGGAAUUCCAGGUGUAGCGGUGAAAUGCGUAGAUAUCUGGAGGAACACCGGUGGCGAAGGCGGCAUCCUGGACCACGACUGACGCUGAGUGAGCGAAA